rnacentral:lncRNA from 1 species
AUCUUGGACAAUAAAUAUAGUACAUGGCUAUUUUUCAUUUUUAUCAGUCUAAUUCAAAUUGAGGUGUGAGUUUAAAAUGUAUUUAGGAUUAGUCUGCUGAUGCUAGUCAUCUUUCUCCUAUCUAUAUUCAUGUAUGUUGGUGUCCAUGGAUUGGUAUUUAUUUUUUCUAAACAGGUAUAGGCCUCUAUGGACUGAGUCACGCACCACCCCCAUUACAUUACUGAGGACUAUAAUUCAUGUUCUGUCUCACAUUCUCUAAGUGAUCUUUAUAACCCUUUAAUACAUUUUUCUUCCAAACUGAGGUUAGCUGGAAAAAUUUAAGAGAUUCAACAAUGAGCAUCUGUCCUUCCUCUAUACCACUACUAGAGAAAGGUAUUAAUUACCUCCUAGUUUUCAUUUGAAAACAACAAAACACAAGAUCAAUCAAAUAUCAUUUCCCAGUUGAUUAAAACUUAUACAUUUUAUACAUUUCAUAAACAACGUUUCACCACACCAAAAUAUUGUUGAAUUAUAGUUAAAACUGGAUUUAUAAACCGAGUAAACUCAAUAGUACUGUUUAGUCCUUUAUAAAUUUGGUGAUAGAAAAAAAGGAACAUUAACAGCUUUAGAUAAGUGUAGAGCUAGCUGGCAGUUAUUAAUAGAUUUUAUUUGGCCUAAUACUAUGAAGGCUCUUCAUGCCCUGUUUUUAUCUUAUAAACCAAAAAAUGCCAAUACACCUUUACAAGUAUAUUCUGAAGGGCCUCUUAAAAAAGCACCCUAUGACUCAGUAUUUAAGCACAACAGCAGCUAAAGAUACGCAGCAAACUGAAGUGGCCAGCUAAAAGAAAACAGAUCUUUCUCACAAAUACAGCAAUUAUAUUAAAUAUAUUUAUUACGAGUAUAAAAUGGUUUUUAAAAAGCCCAAAUGAUUCUGAUUUUAAAACUUGAUGACAGAUCCAUCAAGUACAAACGUGUCAUUCAAUAGUGGUUAUUUUUUCCUGGUCACCUCCUCCCUAUUUUUUCAGAGAGAUAAAUAUUUGCCUAAUACUGUGUUUAACUUCUUCCAAGACUUACCUGAGACUCAAAACUGUGGCCAUGGAUAUUCAUUAAAAACUCUAUCACUGUGGCACAAUUUCUUCUUCUGCAUUUUGGAGCUUGUUUAGGAAUGCUAGGUUCCAGGAAACUGUAUAAAUAAAGCCAAUUUAGUGAGAAAACAGUGCAACCUGGUUGUCUGAAGUGCCUGAUGAAUUUCACCUAAUGGUGUAAAGGGCACUCCCAGGUGCUUUGACAGGUUCACACAGCAGGACUGGGUGAGAUUACUGACUUUGUAUAUGUCUAUGACAUUUACACACAUUUGGGUAUUUACUGUACAUACUUUAAAAUAGUGGUUAGGUGCUGUCAUUUUCAUGAUUUUGACAGUUGAGAAACCAUGUUAGGGAGAGAGCUUUGUGUGACACCCUAAUCAGACCGUGAAGGGACAGGUCUGAGUUGUUCAUAGUGCAGAGCGAGGCAUGGCCACGGUACACAGCACACAGGUGAUAGGCAAAUAUUUAAUGCACUGAGCCUUUUGUGUGUAAGGAUAAUUAGUUACUUUAAGGUAUUCGGCAUACACUUUUACAUUUCCAUAUUUUAAUUGGACUUUACUGGUCACUGUGGGGCAUAGAUACAACUGAACUGUUCAAUCCUAAUCAAAUAAAACUAUUAGUACAUUCUUAUACAUCUUUUUGGGACAAAGUACCUCCUACUUACAGAGUAUCCAAUGUAAAUUUUUUAUGGACAAAGUAAAUGUUUAUAAAUAUUUUGGCAUUUUAUAACUUUUCCUAGCAUAGCUUGAGGGCUGAUAAGAAACUCAGCAGAAACAGGCUGUGGUUGGCAUGAAGACACUCUCUCUCUCUCUCUCUCUCUCUGCUCUAGGGGAUUUUACUCACUUUGGGACAAAAGCAAUAUAGUAGCAUCUUUUCACUGACCAAGGUAACCAGAGUGUUGAUCAGAUCACACUGAUACCUACAAGUGGCCAAAAUUAAAUGACAAGCAUGGGGGGAGGUGCCAGGAAGUGGCAGGGGUAUAGAGUGUGAGAGAGAACAGAUGCAUGUGAGUGUGGUGUGAUGAGGGAAGCAGCUCAAGAGCUGACACCUAAACCCAGAAUAAUUUCAGAGGUGAAAAAUUACCACCUCUCUUACUAGUGACAUUGAAGAGAAAAAAAAUUAGGGUUUUUCACUGAUAUGUUACUAGUAUUUAGGCAAAAACACAACAGAAACCAAAUCAAGUCACUAUAAAGCAGUAAGAAAAUAUUUAAAAAAGACAUUAUCAAACUUUAGUGAAUGUUAUUCUAAGUCUCGAAAAUUUAGAUGUCUGUUUAGACUAAAAUUUUGCCAAAAACAAAUCCAAAGUGAAAAAGUAGCAAUUUUAGUAGACAUUAACAAACAUUAUGCAGAUAUAGAUACACAUAUGAAUAAUGCAAGAGAUUUACAGAAGUGUAGUUUUGGCACUUUUACUUGGAUUUUUUAAAGAAAGUGAAUACAAAUAUCUUUGUACACAAAUUCUCAUUCUGGAGAAACAGGAUGUAGAAUUCAAAGGUGCCAACAUCUCCCUUCUUAAAAAUAACAUUGAAACGGGUAACUGUACCUGUUAAAUCUCCUGGUUGGCAACUUUUAAAAUCUGGCUUCCACCUAACUCCACAAAUUUGACAAAGUUAUUUUUGUUUGUGUAAGUGAUACUGGUUAUCCACUUCCAGUACAUGUACCAUUUGGCCAGAGGUCCAUAAAUAAUAUUAACAUUUUCAAUGUAGAAAUCUUGAAGUUCUAAAGGGAAAUAUUGCUCAGUAGAUAAAUUCUCCUGGAAUUUCUUGUAGCAAAGGUUCCUCAAAUUUAAAUCGUUUGGAAAUGGCCUUUUGCUCCAUUUUCUCUUUUUCAGACUGUCUGCAUUGUCCUAGAGUAUAUGAAGUAACUACAAUUAACUCUUCGGUUACAAUGGAUUCCUUGGUUUCUGAUUUGUCGGUAUCCGAAUUAAUUUCAGGCACAGAAUGACCUUCUUGGAGGGCAUUUGCUUCUUCUAGUGCCUUUUCCAUCCUGAAAGAAGGCUCUUGAAUACUGCUCUGUGUCAACCAGGGGUGCUUUAGACAUUCUUCAGCAGUGGCUCGAUCUCUGUAAAGAUACAUGUUUUACAGUUAAGACAUGUUAGAACUUCAAUUAAAAUUAGAGCAUAAGGUACUGUAUUUAUUGCAUUAUAUUUUGGGAAGUCUGACAAGUUGGCAAAAAUCUUACUGUGAUUCCUGAAUAAAACUAUUAGUCUUGGAA